rnacentral:lncRNA from 1 species
UAGUAGCAAUAACGGUAAUAUUAAUAGUAGUACUAGUACCUAUAAAUACCCAUAUACUUGAAAGUUUUUAGCAUCAACCACAAAUUAAAACUUGAGUUUUUCAAUUAGUCUCUCUUACUUUUUCCCCUCAUAUUUCAACAAAUUAUUAUAUUCAGCUAGCCUAUCCGUUCAUUUUUUCUAACAAAAACAAAUCAAGCCUAAUUUAUCAUUUUACCAUUUGUUAGUUU